rnacentral:rRNA from 1 species
AGAGUUUGAUCAUGGCUCAGAACGAACGCUGGCGGCAGGCUUAACACAUGCAAGUCGAACGCCCCGCAAGGGGAGUGGCAGACGGGUGAGUAACGCGUGGGAAUCUACCCAGAUCUUCGGAACAACUGAGGGAAACUUCAGCUAAUACCGGAUACGCCCUACGGGGGAAAGAUUUAUCGGAUCUGGAUGAGCCCGCGUUGGAUUAGCUAGUUGGUGAGGUAAUGGCUCACCAAGGCGACGAUCCAUAGCUGGUCUGAGAGGAUGAUCAGCCACACUGGGACUGAGACACGGCCCAGACUCCUACGGGAGGCAGCAGUGGGGAAUAUUGGACAAUGGGCGAAAGCCUGAUCCAGCCAUGCCGCGUGAGUGAUGAAGGCCUUAGGGUUGUAAAGCUCUUUCAGUAGGGAAGAUAAUGACGGUACCUACAGAAGAAGCCCCGGCUAACUUCGUGCCAGCAGCCGCGGUAAUACGAAGGGGGCUAGCGUUGUUCGGAUUUACUGGGCGUAAAGCGCACGUAGGCGGAUCGUUAAGUCGGGGGUGAAAUCCUGGAGCUCAACUCCAGAACUGCCUUCGAUACUGGCGAUCUUGAGUCCGGAAGAGGUGAGUGGAACUCCUAGUGUAGAGGUGGAAUUCGUAGAUAUUAGGAAGAACACCAGUGGCGAAGGCGGCUCACUGGUCCGGUACUGACGCUGAGGUGCGAAAGCGUGGGGAGCAAACAGGAUUAGAUACCCUAGUAGUCC